GACGAACGCUGGCGGCGUGCUUAACACAUGCAUGUCGAACGAUGAAGCUGGAGCUUGCUCCGGUGGAUUAGUGGCGAACGGGUGAGUAACACGUGAGUAAUCUGCCCUUGACUCUGGGAUAACUGCGGGAAACUGUAGCUAAUACCGGAUACGACACCUUCGGUCAUCCGAUGGGUGUGGAAAGAAUUUCGGUCAAGGAUGAACUCGCGGCCUAUCAGCUAGUUGGUGAGGUAAUGGCUCACCAAGGCGACGACGGGUAGCCGGCCUGAGAGGGUGACCGGCCACACUGGGACGGAGGCACGGCCCGGACUGCUUCGGGAGGCAGCAGUGGGGGAUAUUGCACAAUGGGCGAAAGCCUGAUGCAGCAGCGACGCGUGGGGGAUGAAGGCCUUCGGGUUGUAAACCUCUUUUAGUUGGGAAGCAGGGGAAGUGACGGUACCAACAGAAAAAGCACCGGCUAACUACGUGCCAGCCGCCGCAGUAA
rnacentral:rRNA from 1 species